CCUACGUGAGGCAACAGUGAGGAAUAUUGGUCAAUGGGCGCGAGCCUGAACCAGCCAAGUAGCGUGAAGGAUGACUGCCCUACGGGUUGUAAACUUCUUUUAUAAAGGAAUAAAGUGAGGCACGUGUGCCUUUUUGUAUGUACUUUAUGAAUAAGGAUCGGCUAACUCCGUGCCAGCAGCCGCGGUAAUACGGAGGAUCCGAGCGUUAUCCGGAUUUAUUGGGUUUAAAGGGAGCGUAGAUGGGUUGUUAAGUCAGUUGUGAAAGUUUGCGGCUCAACCGUAAAAUUGCAAUUGAUACUGGCAGUCUUGAGUACAGUUGAGGUAGGCGGAAUUCGUGGUGUAGCGGUGAAAUGCUUAGAUAUCACGAAGAACUCCGAUUGCGAAGGCAGCUUACUAAACUGCCACUGACAUUGAUGCUCGAAAGUGUGGGUAUCAAACAGGAUUAGAUACCCUAGUAGUC
rnacentral:rRNA from 1 species